GUUUGACAAAUUGAAUUGCAUUUUUGCAUUUUUGAGGUAUUUGAAUAUCGCGCCACGGGAUUACACUGGCUGUUGAGUAGGUGGGACGCAAGCGUCCCACCUAGCCCAUAGAGGCUAAAGCAAAGAAUAAGCAAACACGUUUGGUGUUCUCCAAAAGACAUGUGGGAGACUCCCCAAAUGUAUGGAAGAAGGUACUCUGGUCAGAUGAGACUAAAAUUGAGCUUUUUGGCCAUCAAGGAAAACACUAUGUCUGGCGCAAACCAAACACCUCUCAUCACACCGAGAACACCGUCUCUCAUCAUGCUGUGGGGAUGUUUUUAAUUGGCAGGGACUGGGAAACUGGUCAGAAUUGAAGGAAUGAUGGAUGGUGCUAAAUACAGGGAAGUUCUUGAGGGAUACCUGUUUCAGUCUUCCAGAGAUUUGAGACUGGGACGGAGGUUCACCUUCCAGCAGGACAAUGACCAAGGCAUACUGCUAAAGCAACACUCGAAUGGUUUAAAGGGAAACAUUUAUAUCUCUUGGAAUGUUCUAGUCAAAGCCCAGACCUCAAUCCAAUUGAGAAUCUGUGGUAUGACUUAAAGAUUGCUGUACACCAGCGGAACCCAUCCAACUUGAAGGAGCUGGAGCAGUUGUGCCUUGAAGAAUGAGCAAAAAUCCCAGUGACUAGAUGUGCUAAGCUUAUAGUUAACGAGACAUACCCCAAGAGACUUGCAGCUGUAAUUGUUGCAAAAAGUGGGGUGAAUAGUUAUGCACGCUCAAGUUUUCUGUUUUUUUGUUUUAUUUCUUGCUUGUUUCACAUGACAAAAUAUUUUGCAUCUUCAAAGUGGUAGGCAUGUUGUGUAAAUCAAAUGAUACAAAACCCCCCAAAAACCCAUUUUAAUUCCAGAUUGUAAGGCAACAAAAUAGGAAAAAUGGGGUGAAUACUUUCGCAAGACACUGUAUAUCUACCACUCUCUCAUCUCUGCAAUCCUUCCUGCAUCUCUCCUACAGUAUCUCCUCUCUCUCCUCUCUUAUCUGUCCAUCCUCUUAUUCCUGUAUGUAGUGCCUUAAUAACUGCAGCCUCUUAUGUUAAAUUUUGAGAUAGCUUUAAAGAGCUGUAAUGUACAUUCACACAAAAUGCAUCCAUCAAUGACGGUUCUGGGCAUAACAAGAAAUUACAGGUUAAAUUAUUAUGAAUUCUGACAGCAGUGGUUAAGGUUAAAAUGUUUCUGUCUAUUUGUCCCUGCAUUGAUGCUGGCAAGUUGGUUAAAGUUGCAGAGGACAACUCUUCUCUGUGGUAGUAGAUCAUGUAGAGGGGGGUCCAGUUCUGUCUCCUCUUCUCUGUGGUAGUAGAUCAUGUAGAAGGUGUUUAGGUUGGUGCAUGUCAUUGACCAAUCUUACUGCUGCGUGUAGCGGUGGAACGGUCAUUGGGAUGUCUCUGUUUCCUGAAGCCUAGACUCUGAUAUGAGGGGCGGCAGGUAGCCUAGUGGUUAUAUUGUUGGACCAGUAUCCGAAAGGUUGCUUGAUCAAUUCCUGGAGCUGACAAGGUAAAAAUCUGUUGUUCUGAUCCUGAACAAGGCAAUUAACCCACUGUUCCUAGGCCGUCAAUGUAAAUAAGUAUUUGUUCUUAACUGAUUUGCCUAGUUAAAUAAAGGUUAAUAAAUAAAAAUAAAAAAAUAAUUGAGGGUUGUUCCCUGAAGCCAAGACUCCGAUAAAAUGAGACUUGUUCCCUGAAGACUCUACUGUAAUGAGGUCUGUUCCCUGAAGCCUAGACUCUGAUUUAAUGAGGUCUGUCCUCUGAAGCCUCUGAUGUAAUGAGGUCUGUUCUCUGAAGCCUAGACUCUGAUGUAAUGAGGUCUGUCCUCUGAAGCCUAGACUCUGAUGUAAUGAGGUCUGUCCUCUGAAGCCUAGACUCUGAUGUAAUGAGGUCUGUCCUCUGAAGCCUAGACUCUGAUGUAAUUAGGUCUGUUCUCCGAAGCCUAGACUCUGAUGUAAUGAGGUCUGUUCUCUGAAGCCUAGACUCUGAUGUAAUGAGGUCUGUCCUCUGAAGCCUAGACUCUGAUGUAAUGAGUUCUGUUCUCUGAAGCCUAGACUCUGAUGUAAUGAGGUCUGUUCUCUGAAGCCUAGACUCUGAUGUAAUGAGGUCUGUUCUCUGAAGCCUAGACUCUGAUGUAAUGAGGUCUGUCCUCUGAAGCCUAG
rnacentral:lncRNA from 1 species